GACGAACGCUGGCGGCGUGCUUAACACAUGCAAGUCGAACGGAAAGGCCUCUUUCGGGGGGUACUCGAGUGGCGAACGGGUGAGUAACACGUGAGUAACCUGCCCUUGACUUUGGGAUAACUUCAGGAAACUGGGGCUAAUACCGGAUAGGAGCUCCUGCUGCAUGGUGGGGGUUGGAAAGUUUCGGCGGUUGGGGGUGGACUCGCGGCUUAUCAGCUUGUUGGUGGGGUAGUGGCUUACCAAGGCUUUGACGGGUGGCCGGCCUGGGAGGGUGACCGGCCACAUUGGGACUGGGAGACGGCCCAGACUCCUACGGGAGGCAGCAGUGGGGAAUAUUGCACAAUGGGUGGAAGCCUGAUGCAGCAACGCCGUGUGCGGGAUGACGGCCUUCGGGUUGUAAACCGCUUUCGCUCAUGACGAAGCUUUGUGUGACGGUAGUGGGUAAAGAAGCACCGGCUAACUACGUG
rnacentral:rRNA from 1 species